rnacentral:tRNA from 1 species
GCGGUAGCUCAGUUGGUAGAGCAAUGGACUGAAAAUCCAUGUGUCGGCGGUUCCCUGCCUGCGUG